AGUAACGCGUGAGGAACCUGCCUCAAAGAGGGGGACAACAGUUGGAAACGACUGCUAAUACCGCAUAAGCCCACGGUGCCGCAUGGCACAGAGGGAAAAGGAGCAAUCCGCUUUGAGAUGGCCUCGCGUCCGAUUAGCUAGUUGGUGAGGUAAUGGCCCACCAAGUCGACGAUCAGUAGCCGGACUGAGAGGUUGAACGGCCACAUUGGGACUGAGACACGGCCCAGACUCCUACGGGAGGCAGCAUG
rnacentral:rRNA from 1 species